UCAUCUCAAUUUAAUUCAGCUUUAUUUGCAUAGCGCUUUUUACAAUGGACAUUGUCUCAAAGCAGCUUUACAGAAACAUAUAAACACGGGAUAUAGAUUUUAAAUGUGUGAAUUUAUCCGUAUCGAGUAAGCCGGUGGUGGCGGUGGCGAGGAAAAACUCCCUAAGAUGUUAAGAGGAAGAAAUCUUAAGAGGAACCAGACUCAGAAGGGAACCCGUCCUCAUCUGGCUAACAACUGGCAACAAUGGUCAGUGUUUUGGCAGCAAGACUGAGAUGAAUCUUUCAGCACCAUGAGAGCACAGGGACGUCUUCAGGACUGAGCUUUGUGACCGAAAACGACUUUGUCUAUUGUUGAGGCUAUAAUUUAGCAAUUAAAGGCAAAGAGACACUGGACACGCGACCAAACUGUAAGAAAUAUCAACAUUUCUCUAAGAUUAUAUUCUCUUUCGAGUCUGAGGCACGAGUGGGCAAGCAAUCAUGCGAUCUGGAGAAAAUGACUUGUCACUAAUAACAAGUGCUGGGCACACUGUGUGUAUAAACAUUCACUCUAUACACUCCACGAAGAUGAGCUUCGAAGGACAUGAGCUUCAAAGCUCUUCAAAGCUUCAUGAAUUGUAGCCUUCAUUUGUACUGAAAUAAAACACAUGAUCAUUUAUUUGAUUCGGAACUACAGAGAAACUGAAGCUUCUAUGUUUUACUGCACCUACACAUGGCUAAUUUCAGCCAGAUUACUAGUCAGCCUGAAUGACAUUAAUAUUAACAUUGCUUCUCCAGGAGUAUCUACAGUACCAGAGGGUCGGUCAACAAAAUAUUAUGUAUAAAUGAUGCAUAAUUCUAGAUAUUUACAACAUGAAAACUGACACGUACACAGUCAGGUCCAUAAAUACUGUAAGUCUAUGACAGUAUACAAGAGUUGAACUGUGUAGAAAUUACUGCACUUCUAAUUUGGGACCUAAUGUAAUUGGACAAACUAACAUAAUCAUAAAUCAAAUUGUCAUGUUUAAUGUUUGGUUGUAAAUCCAGUUUAGUUAAGGGCUCUUUCAAGAAUUCAUGAAAGCUUUUCCUUGCUUGGUAAAAAAGCUUGAUAAAAAGUUUCUCUGCGCUCUCAUCC